rnacentral:rRNA from 1 species
CCUACGGGAGGCAGCAGUGAGGAAUAUUGGUCAAUGGGCUUACGCCUGAACCAGCCAAGUCGCGUGAGGGAAGACUGCCCUAUGGGUUGUAAACCUCUUUUGUCAGGGAGCAACGCCGGCUACGUGUAGCCGGACUGAGAGUACCUGAAGAAAAAGCAUCGGCUAACUCCGUGCCAGCAGCCGCGGUAAUACGGAGGAUGCGAGCGUUAAUCGGAAUCACUGGGCGUAAAGCGCGCGUAGGCGGCUUUUCAAGUCAGGGGUGAAAUCCCACGGCCCAACCGUGGAACUGCCUUUGAAACUGUAGAGCUUGAGUGUCGGAGAGGGUGGCGGAAUUCCAGGUGUAGGAGUGAAAUCCGUAGAUAUCUGGAGGAACACCGGUGGCGAAGGCGGCCACCUGGACGACAACUGACGCUGAGGUGCGAAAGCGUGGGUAGCAAACAGGAUUAGAUACCCUGGUAGUC